rnacentral:rRNA from 1 species
AACGUAGGUGGCAAGCGUUGUCCGGAAUUACUGGGUGUAAAGGGAGCGCAGGCGGGAUGGCAAGUUGAAUGUGAAAACUAUGGGCUCAACCCAUAGACUGCGUUCAAAACUGCUGUCCUUGAGUGAUGUAGAGGCAGGCGGAAUUCCCGGUGUAGCGGUGGAAUGCGUAGAUAUCGGGAGGAACACCAGUGGCGAAGGCGGCCUGCUGGGCAUUAACUGACGCUGAGGCUCGAAAGUAUGGGGAGCAAACAGG